GAUCAUGGCUAAGAUUGAACGCUGGCGGCAGGCCUAACACAUGCAAGUCGAACGGUAACAGAAAGCAGCUUGCUGCUUUGCUGACGAGUGGCGGACGGGUGAGUAAUGUCUGGGAAACUGCCAGAUGGAGGGGGAUAACUACUGGAAACGGUAGCUAAUACCGCAUAACGUCGCAAGACCAAAGAGGGGGGACCUUAGGGCCUCUUGCCAUCGGAUGUGCCCAGAUGGGAUUAG
rnacentral:rRNA from 1 species